CUGCUCAGUAAGAGUCAAAAAGUUAUGAAUUACGUGAUGGAAGAUGAAAAGAUUAAUCAAACGUUUUAAAGUACUUUCUAAAAGUUAUCUAGUUUUGUUUUAUUUCACUGGGUGAAAGGCUAAAAUCAAUUCAAAAGUCAGUGUUCCCAAUUCCACUCCACCUACUUGUAGUAGUGCUCCACCGGCUCGUCCCCUCCCUGAGUGGCCGACCGGAGGUGGUCGCCUGCGGGCGGAAGGUGAGUCGAGAGCAGGUAGAGGUAGACGGUUGCGGCCGCCACAGUGGCAGCAAGCCCGGCAAGCGAGCGCAUGUUUCGGCAGACUUGGUGAAGAGACUCCGUUUUCCAAGCUCGAUACGGAUUUUUAAAAAGGAAGGAGGGGAAGAAGUCUCUCUUGGGGGAAGACGAGGCGACGUGUUGCGGUCCAGUUGGACGACACCGAGUCUCCCCGGUGUCUAUUACCCGCCAACACGCGACUCAUGACGGCGAGGGGAUCAGGUGACACCCGGCGAAAGACAACCUGCUCCGGCAAUCGUCAAAUGAGGAAGCCCCUCCCCCUCCUGUGACAUCCUUAUAUCUGAUUGGACGUCUUGGUAGAGCUUCCAGAUUUCUCCAAGCUCCUCGUCCAGAAACAAUACUGACACCAUCAAGGCCAGCGGAGGUGAUUCAUGCGAGCCGACAGACUGGGUGAUUCAUUCCAGUGGAUUACAGGCUGCUGCAGCUCCUGGAAGUUCAAAGGUCACACAUUGACCUGUAGAGGAAACCACAACGACAGACAUAGAAACUGCAGCAGGAGGGAAACCGGAGGUGAUCAGACGCUAACUCUCAGCUUGUCUGUGGGCCGGAAACGUUUAAAACGCUGUUUUAAUGUUUUGACCAUCCAGUAGGCUGGAUAAACGUAUAGAAAUAUUGGAAACAGUGCUCAGCAUGAUGCAAUACAAAUUCAAAAUGCAGCUACAAUCAUAAACAGCAUUAUUAUCUUUAUAAAAGCAGAUCUCAUCCAAUACAGUGAACAGUCAGUGUGUUUAAUGUCAUAACUUUAAUUUGGGAGGCACCUUCAUUCACACACAAAAAUAACUCAUAAAUCCUCUUUAUCAUUGUACUCUUGUGCUUCCAAGACUUCUGGAGCAAAUAAUGGAAAAACACAAUUCAUCAUCAUAAUAAAUACAUACAGCUUAGAGGUAAUGAUGAUGUCCAGUAUGUUGCAGACUCUUGUGGACUUUUGUACUGAUUCUUGAUUCUUCACCAGAAGCAACCUCUGCACAUCCAGCAAGCAUGCAGCAAUGUGCAAGCAGAAAGGAAAUAAAGGGGCUGGGUGUGAAUGACUUAACAGUUUAUCAUCUUUUAAUGUUAUGUACAAUCCAGACAGAUCAAGUCCGGUCGAGUCCUUCAGGAGGUCUUGUCUUCGAAGUAGGUGAGCUCGAUGCGCCUGCAGAAGGAGAGCAGGUUGCUGUAGCUCCUGACCCGCUCGGCCAGCUCGGUGCUGGUCAGCCUGGUGGUCAGGAUGGUGAAGAGGUGGCCAAACACGAGGGCGUCUAGCUCGGUUGGCCUGAAACAUACACACAAUUAAUGUUAGACUUUAUGUUAUGUUAUGUUAGACUUUGCAUGGGAUAAACAAUUAUGAUACAUUAUUUCAAUCGUGGAUUGUAAGCUAUUCAUUGAAUAUUUUUUUUGUGUGCCACAGUUAAGGAGACUCUGCAGUUACAGCCUUCUUCCACAGGGAGGUGCUACAGUGACCAGUUCAUGUUUUCUCCACUUUAUAGUACUGAAAACAAUUUACAGAAAUGAUCAAAAUGUUAAGUACAUCAAAUACUAAAGAGGUUGCGGCCCAGAGAAUACAUACUGUUUAUUGAAAAAGAAAGGCUGCGUUCCAAGCCGCUGAGAGAGAGCCUGGCAGCACUGACUCACGUCCUCGUACACCUGAGGCACACAAAACAAAAGUAUGACCAAAAUAGAUAGGCGCCACAAUAAGCUAAAUUUAGCUUGUUGCUGACCUGCUCCAGGCUUUUUCCUCCCCAGCCGAUGGCGUUCAUCUUCCUGCGGACCUCCCAUUGCUUCUGGUAGGCGAGGACGGUGCUGAGAGGCCACGAGUACGGGCUGCUGUAUCUGGGUCGAGUGAUCUGCACAACACCGCGGUGGUGAACACAUAACAGGAUGUGACCCACCAGAAGCUAGGAUGCUGGGAUCACAAUCAAAGAGCGCCGACUCACCUCAGCGGCAGUGGCGUCGUCACACCACUGGACGUACAGCUGGAAGAGAGACAAGUGUGUGUGUGUAACCCGAGACACCCAACAUGAGAUGAGAACAGCUUUUAACAUUAAUUUUAAGAAAAGUACAAUGCAAAAAUAUUCAUCCAUCUAUUUUCUGUGCUACUUAUCCUCACCUUCCCAGUAUUAUUAGUAUUAUUCUUAAACAGGCAUGAGAUUACACAAUUAACAGCAAAAAAGCCCAAACAAAAUGUCCUUUGUUUACUUUUGCAGAAGUUGGCAACCCUAUCAAUUAAUUUACUGAUUUUAUUUGAUUAUUAUUGAUUUUUUUUUGUUGGUGACAAACUUCUGCUCUACACUUCAGCCCAAUAGCUGACAGUAACAUGCAAAUGAGCUCAUUUACUAACCCAGAUUGACUCCUAAAGAGGAAGAAAGGGGACAAACACGGACUGAUGUGUGUGAAAAGAAAGCGCUAUUGGACUUAAUAGUAUUUGUCAGUAAAACAGUGAAAAUGAGAGGAAAUCUGAAUGUUUACUUUGCAAGUCAGUGUGCGCCCCUACAAUUUAAAGUUAGUGCUCCUAGUAAAAAACAAAGUUCGCCUUGAGCCCUUCAAAUGCAAUGAACGUCAAUCUCGUACUGUAGCUCAGCUUCCCUCGUUUCAUAUUGUUUUUCCACACCUCCAUUAACUGUGUAUGUGUACCUCUGCAGUCAGCAGCAUGUUGUUGACCAACUCCAUGUACGCUUUCAUUUCAGCCCUCUGAAUGUCAUCCAAGCCGUCGCUCAGAGAAUGACCCUAAAACAAAUCGAGGUCAAAAGUGAGCUUCUCAAAUA